AACGAACGCUGGCGGCGUGCUUAACACAUGCAAGUCGAACGCGAAAGGGACCUCGGUCCUGAGUAGAGUGGCGCACGGGUGAGUAACGCGUAAGUUAUCUACCCCUCCAUCUGGAAUAACUCACCGAAAGGUGUGCUAAUACCGGAUACGUUGGAAACAAGAAAGGUGGCAUCUUCUAUGCUACCGUGGAGGGAUGAGCUUGCGUACCAUUAGCUAGUUGGUAGGGUAAUGGCCUACCAAGGCAACGAUGGUUAGCGGGUCUGAGAGGAUGAUCCGCCACACUGGAACUGGAACACGGACCAGACUCCUACGGGAGGCAGCAGUGAGGAAUAUUGCGCAAUGGGGGAAACCCUGACGCAGCGACGCCGCGUGGAUGAUGAAGGCCUUUGGGUCGUAAAAUCCUGUCAGAUGGAAAGAAAUGUACAUGUGCUAAUAUCACUUGUAUUUGACGGUACCAUCAAAGGAAGCACCGGCUAACUCCGUGCCAGCA
rnacentral:rRNA from 1 species